rnacentral:lncRNA from 1 species
GGGAGAUGCAGGAAGAUUCGGGGAAUGCUACCAUUUCCAUGAAAAAUGGCCGAUGUUAGCAAGCUGGAGGAUAAGAUACCAUGGGGAGGAGAAGCAAGGUGCCCCUGUUGACAGCCCCAGAAGCAGAAGCUCAUCCCCAGAAGCACAGCUGCCUAUUCAACAAACAGCUGAAGAUACAUGUCUGGAGGAGCUCAGCUGAGACAAAAAGAACAGCCUCACUGAGCCCAGCCUAAAUAGCUGACCAUCUCAAUUAUGGGCAAAUAAGUUUUGAAUGAUUUGUUAUGCUGCAAUAGCUAAUUAAUACAUGCACCCAGUGCAGACAGGAUGCCAGGAUUCAUUGACAAGUUGAUUACUAGUUCUCUUCUAACAGUGGGCACCCUAUAGGUACUGAUUUUUCCCCCUGAUUUGAAGUUGGAUGCCAAGUAAGAGAAUGCUGAGUAAUGCAGAAAUAUAUAUGGAUAUGUAUGCAUGUAAUUGGUGCCUAUACUCACACAGUCCCCCAUACCACAGGAGAAAACAGAUAACCACGGCCUGACAUUAGGGCCAAGGACAAAUAGAAAAGUAAGUUUGCCUUUAAUCUGUUUUCUUCAUAUCUAAACAUUGGAGGUCAAGACUGUGCACAGGUUUGAAGACAUAGAGAUUUCUUCUCCUGUGGCCUUAUCAUCCUUUGUUCACCUUCUGAUCUCUGGAAGAAAGGUGGAAAAUGGGUGGCCAGCAGUGGUCUACCUGUGGUUGUUUUUUUCUUGCUGUCCUCUGAUUUUUCUAUGGCUACUAUCUGUUCCUCCCUCAGAGCUGAAGAGAAAUGUUGGUAGGGAAAGGCUCUUUUUUCAGCUUUGGCAGAAAAGUUUUUUCAGGCCCUUCGCUCCCGAGGUCAGAGCUGCACUUCAAUGUGGCAGCUACUGGCCAUGUGUGGCGACUGAGUGCCUGGAAUGUGGCUGGUCUAAACUGUGAUAUGCUGGAAAGGUAAAAUACAGAGUUAGUUUCAAAGAUGAAGUUCCAAAAAAUAUCUACACUUCAUUUAUAAUUUACAUUUUGCUUACAUAUUAAAAUGAUAAUAUUUUGGAUAUACUGGUUUAAUUAAAUUGCUACAAU